AAAGUCGUAACAAGGUCUCCGUUGGUGAACCAGCGGAGGGAUCAUUACCGAGUUUACAACUCCCAAACCCCUGUGAACAUACCUAUCGUUGCUUCGGCGGAUCCGCCCCGGCGCCCUCGGGCCCGGAUCAGGCGCCCGCCGGAGACCCAAAACUCUUGUUUAACUAAAAGGCCUCUCUGAGUACUGUACUUAAAUAAGUCAAAACUUUCAACAACGGAUCUCUUGGUUCUG
rnacentral:misc_RNA from 1 species